UCAAGUGAAGAAGCGCAUACGGUGGAUGCCUUGGCAGUCAGAGGCGAUGAAAGACGUGGUAGCCUGCGAAAAGCUUCGGGGAGUCGGCAAACAGACUUUGAUCCGGAGAUCUCUGAAUGGGGGAACCCACCUAGGAUAACCUAGGUAUCUUGUACUGAAUCCAUAGGUGCAAGAGGCGAACCAGGGGAACUGAAACAUCUAAGUACCCUGAGGAAAAGAAAUCAACCGAGAUUCCCUUAGUAGUGGCGAGCGAACGGGGAUUAGCCCUUAAGCUUCAUUGAUUUUAGCGGAACGCUCUGGAAAGUGCGGCCAUAGUGGGUGAUAGCCCCGUACGCGAAAGGAUCUUUGAAGUGAAAUCGAGUAGGACGGAGCACGAGAAACUUUGUCUGAACAUGGGGGGACCAUCCUCCAAGGCUAAAUACUACUGACUGACCGAUAGUGAACCAGUACCGUGAGGGAAAGGCGAAAAGAACCCCGGAGAGGGGAGUGAAAUAGAACCUGAAACCGUAUGCGUACAAGCAGUGGGAGCCUACUUGUUAGGUGACUGCGUACCUUUUGUAUAAUGGGUCAGCGACUUAUAUUCAGUGGCAAGCUUAACCGUAUAGGGUAGGCGUAGCGAAAGCGAGUCUUAAUAGGGCGUUUAGUCGCUGGGUAUAGACCCGAAACCGGGCGAUCUAUCCAUGAGCAGGUUGAAGGUUAGGUAACACUGACUGGAGGACCGAACCCACUCCCGUUGAAAAGGUAGGGGAUGACUUGUGGAUCGGAGUGAAAGGCUAAUCAAGCUCGGAGAUAGCUGGUUCUCCUCGAAAGCUAUUUAGGUAGCGCCUCAUGUAUCACUCUGGGGGGUAGAGCACUGUUUCGGCUAGGGGGUCAUCCCGACUUACCAAACCGAUGCAAACUCCGAAUACCCAGAAGUGCCGAGCAUGGGAGACACACGGCGGGUGCUAACGUCCGUCGUGAAAAGGGAAACAACCCAGACCGCCAGCUAAGGUCCCAAAGUUGUGGUUAAGUGGUAAACGAUGUGGGAAGGCUUAGACAGCUAGGAGGUUGGCUUAGAAGCAGCCACCCUUUAAAGAAAGCGUAAUAGCUCACUAGUCGAGUCGGCCUGCGCGGAAGAUGUAACGGGGCUCAAACCACACACCGAAGCUGCGGGUGUCACGCAAGUGACGCGGUAGAGGAGCGUUCUGUAAGCCUGUGAAGGUGAGUUGAGAAGCUUGCUGGAGGUAUCAGAAGUGCGAAUGCUGACAUGAGUAACGACAAUGGGUGUGAAAAACACCCACGCCGAAAGACCAAGGGUUCCUGCGCAACGUUAAUCGACGCAGGGUUAGUCGGUUCCUAAGGCGAGGCUGAAAAGCGUAGUCGAUGGGAAACAGGUUAAUAUUCCUGUACUUCUGGUUACUGCGAUGGAGGGACGGAGAAGGCUAGGCCAGCUUGGCGUUGGUUGUCCAAGUUUAAGGUGGUAGGCUGAAAUCUUAGGUAAAUCCGGGGUUUCAAGGCCGAGAGCUGAUGACGAGUCGUCUUUUAGAUGACGAAGUGGUUGAUGCCAUGCUUCCAAGAAAAGCUUCUAAGCUUCAGGUAACCAGGAACCGUACCCCAAACCGACACAGGUGGUCGGGUAGAGAAUACCAAGGCGCUUGAGAGAACUCGGGUGAAGGAACUAGGCAAAAUGGCACCGUAACUUCGGGAGAAGGUGCGCCGGCUAGGGUGAAGGAUUUACUCCGUAAGCUCUGGCUGGUCGAAGAUACCAGGCCGCUGCGACUGUUUAUUAAAAACACAGCACUCUGCAAACACGAAAGUGGACGUAUAGGGUGUGACGCCUGCCCGGUGCCGGAAGGUUAAUUGAUGGGGUUAGCGCAAGCGAAGCUCUUGAUCGAAGCCCCGGUAAACGGCGGCCGUAACUAUAACGGUCCUAAGGUAGCGAAAUUCCUUGUCGGGUAAGUUCCGACCUGCACGAAUGGCGUAACGAUGGCGGCGCUGUCUCCACCC
rnacentral:rRNA from 1 species